AGAGUUUGAUCAUGGCUCAGAUUGAACGCUGGCGGCAGGCCUAACACAUGCAAGUCGAGCGGAUGACAGGAGCUUGCUCCUGGAUUCAGCGGCGGACGGGUGAGUAAUGCCUAGGAAUCUGCCUGGUAGUGGGGGACAACGUUUCGAAAGGAACGCUAAUACCGCAUACGUCCUACGGGAGAAAGCAGGGGACCUUCGGGCCUUGCGCUAUCAGAUGAGCCUAGGUCGGAUUAGCUUGUUGGUGAGGUAAUGGCUCACCAAGGCGACGAUCCGUAACUGGUCUGAGAGGAUGAUCAGUCACACUGGAACUGAGACACGGUCCAGACUCCUACGGGAGGCAGCAGUGGGGAAUAUUGGACAAUGGGCGAAAGCCUGAUCCAGCCAUGCCGCGUGUGUGAAGAAGGUCUUCGGAUUGUAAAGCACUUUAAGUUGGGAGGAAGGGUUGUAGAUUAAUACUCUGCAAUUUUGACGUUACCGACAGAAUAAGCACCGGCUAACUCUGUGCCAGCAGCCGCGGUAAUACAGAGGGUGCAAGCGUUAAUCGGAAUUACUGGGCGUAAAGCGCGCGUAGGUGGUUUGUUAAGUUGGAUGUGAAAGCCCCGGGCUCAACCUGGGAACUGCAUCCAAAACUGGCAAGCUAGAGUACGGUAGAGGGUGGUGGAAUUUCCUGUGUAGCGAUGAAAUGCGUAGAUAUAGGAAGGAACACCAGUGGCGAAGGCGACCACCUGGACUGAUACUGACACUGAGGUGCGAAAGCGUGGGGAGCAAACAGGAUUAGAUACCCCGGUAGUCC
rnacentral:rRNA from 1 species